AGCCGGGCUGCUUUGCAUAGUCGAGGGGCUCGAGGACUUGGUGCUAGCUGGAUGUGCUUCCUCACCAGGGUGGGUUGUCUGCCUCUGGUUGUUGCUAGGAGCGGGAAGUUAGGCAUCUUUCCGGAGCAAGUGAUGUCUGCACAGGCUUUGCUGCAUCUUGGAAAGCUACAGAGGUGCUGGGAACCAAACCUACAAGCAAGAAUCUUCUCUGCAGAGACACGUGAUCAGGACACGGGUGACCCAACGGGAAAGUUAGAGAAACGGUGAAAAGAAAAGAGGUGCGGGAGCUUUCUGCAUUUGUGAUUUGUCACACGUACCGGUGGAGCUGCUGGAUUAGCUGCACUAAUCAAGAUCUGGAGAAUCUGGUUCUUCAUUUGAAGGGAGCAUCCCUUUUGUAUUAGUCUCCGAAGUUAUUUUAACUUGCAUUGACACAAAUUAAACAGGAAUCUUGCUGUCUA